CUUGGAGAAAGCUCAUCAGAGGGGCCAUGUGCUAAGUGCUCAUCACUUCCUGGCCCCUGGCAAGGUCUGAGACUGGGGCCUCCUGAAGCCCUAGCCGGGCUCUCCCUGAGCGGGGAGGGGAGUUCCCAGAGAGCAGGGCUCCAUGUGAAAGACCCCCGGAGGCUCAGGCCCCCAGGAUCUCAGCCCAGGACCACGGCCACCCCAAUCACCAUGCAAAGGCGAAAGCUUGAUGCAAACAGCAAGAGGCUUUAUUGUAGUUGUUUAACGAG
ensembl:ribozyme RNaseP_nuc Nuclear RNase P